rnacentral:rRNA from 1 species
UACGUAGGGUCCGAGCGUUGUCCGGAGUUACUGGGCGUAAAGCGCGCGCAGGCGGCGGUGUAAGCAUGGCGUGAAAGCCCCAGGCUCAACCUGGGAGGGUCGUCGUGGACUGCACCGCUUGAGGGCGGUAGGGGCUGAUGGAAUGCCUGGUGUAGUGGUGAAAUGCGUAGAGAUCAGGCGGAACACCCGUGGCGAAGGCGGCCAGCUGGGCCGUCCCUGACGCUGAGGCGCGAAGGCGUGGGGAGCGAACGGG